GACGUAGGGUGCGAGCGUUGUCCGGAUUUAUUGGGCGUAAAGAGCUCGUAGGCGGCUCGUCGCGUCGGCUGUGAAAACCCGCGGCUUAACUGUGGGCUUGCAGCUGAUACGGGCAGACUAGAGUGUGGUAGGGGAGACUGGAAUUCCUGGUGUAGCGGUGAAAUGCGCAGAUAUCAGGAGGAACACCGGUGGCGAAGGCGGGUCUCUGGGCCGAUAUCGACGCUGAGGAGCGAAAGCGUGGGGAGCGAACAGG
rnacentral:rRNA from 1 species